rnacentral:rRNA from 1 species
AUAUCAAUAAGCGGAGGAAAAGAAACCAACUGGGAUCGCCCUAGUAACGGCGAGUGAAGCGGCGACAGCUCAAAUUUGAAAUCUGGCCCUGGGCCCGAGUUGUAAUUUGCAGAGGAUGCUUCGGGCGCGGCGCUUUCCGAGUCCGUUGGAACACGGCGCCAGAGAGGGUGAGAGCCCCGUACUGUUAGCCGCCAAGCCUGUGUGAAGCUCCUUCGACGAGUCGAGUAGUUUGGGAAUGCUGCUCAAAAUGGGAGGUAGACCCCUUCUAAAGCUAAAUACCGGCCAGAGACCGAUAGCGCACAAGUAGAGUGAUCGAAAGAUGAAAAGCACUUUGAAAAGAGGGUUAAACAGCACGUGAAAUUGUUGAAAGGGAAGCGCUCGUGACCAGACUUGCGCCGGGGCGAUCAUCUGGCGUUCUCGCCGGUGCACUCGCCCCGGCUCAGGCCAGCGUCGGUUCGCGCGGGGGGAUAAAGGCGUCGGGAACGUGGCUCCCUCGGGAGUGUUAUAGCCCGGCGUGUAAUGCCCCCGCCCGGACCGAGGUUCGCGCUCCGCAAGGACGCUGGCGUAAUGGUCCCCAGCGACCCGUCUUGAAACACGGACCAAGGAGUCGAGGUUCUGCGCGAGUGUUUGGGUGUCAAACCCGCACGCGUAAUGAAAGUGAACGCAGGUGGGAGCUUCGGCGCACCACCGACCGAUCCUGAUGUUCUCGGAUGGAUUUGAGUAGGAGCGUGGGGCCUCGGACCCGAAAGAUGGUGAACUAUGCUUGGAUAGGGUGAAGUCAGAGGAAACUCUGAUGGAGGCUCGCAGCGGUUCUGACGUGCAAAUCGAUCGUCAAAUCUGAGCAUGGGGGCGAAAGACUAAUCGAACCAUCUAGUAGCUGGUUACCGCCGAAGUUUCCCUCAGGAUAGCAGUGUUGUCUUCAGUUUUAUGAGGUAAAGCGAAUGAUUAGGGACUCGGGGGCGCCAUAUUGCCUUCAUCCAUUCUCAAACUUUAAAUAUGUAAGAAGCCCUUGUUACUUAGCUGAA